CCAAGCUCCUUUGUCCAUGGAAUUCUCUAGGCAAGAAUACUAGAGUGGAUUGUAAUUUCCUUUUCCAAGGGAUCUUCACCACCCAGGUAUCCAACCCAGGUCUCCUGCAUACCCCAACACAGAAAAGAAGCAGUGCCCAUAUGUUCUACAUAUCAACACAAGUCAUCUUGGGAAAGCUUUCUAGUUUCCCCUUGAUGCUUUGCAGGUCCUACAAACUGUGACUGGUGUACUCCUGGGAUGGAUUCAUUUAACCUUCCCACAGUUGUUGGGCAUGCAGGAUCUUAAUUCCCCGACUAAGGAUUAAACCCAUGCUCCCUGCGUUGGGAGCACAGAAUCUUAAACCACUGGACCACCAAAGAAGUCCAUCAUGUUAACAUUUCUGACAUCAAGUUGUAUAUAUUUUUAAUUGGAAGUAUUUUUUCAGGUAGUGACAAGUAUUAAAUGCCAUCUUAAAGUCAAAGAAAUAGCGUUAUGUAUCACUAAUGUUUACUUAAAUAACAAUGCACUUUAAAAAUAAACAGGCUUAAAAUAUGGCAGAAUGCAAAUAUGUAAUUGUUGACAAGUGAACCUGCUAAUAAAG
rnacentral:lncRNA from 1 species